rnacentral:tRNA from 1 species
GGAGGAUUACCCAAGUCUGGCUGAAGGGAACGGUCUUGAAAACCGUCAGGUGGAUAAAACCACACGAGAGUUCGAAUCUCUCAUCCUCCU